CCAGACCCUCUUCGAAAAAUCCCUCAGCCACCGGCCCAUUUUCACACAAUAGUCCUUUACCUUUAGAAUUUUUAAGAGAUUCUCUCUUAUUAACCCUUAAAAUCACCAAAUCUAGAAACAGAAUCCCCCAAAUCUGUCAUUUGAGCCUCCUUUCCCAGAGAAGACAAAGCUCCAAAUCUAGAGCCUUCCAAAUACCCCCCUUAAUUUUCACUUUAGACCCCCGAUUUCUGUCCAAUUUGCGUCGAGAUUUGCGUUCUACCACCAUCCAUGGACCGAAAGCUUCAUCCAUAGUCACCUGCCCUUCACCCCAACUUCACCGGAGUUAUGUCACUGGUCAUCGAUUUUGUAGAGGCUUCCGCACCUUCAACACUGCUCCGAUCUGUCACAGAGGAAAGAUACGAAAUUUUAAGGUGGCCAUAUUUUCCGCAAGAAAAACAUACCUCUGGUAAAGCUUCAAAUUUCAUUCGUUGUAAACGCCCAUUGACCCGAAGUUGCGAUGUUAGAGGCUUCUCAAGAUCCACAACCACAGCUAUACAGGCGAAUUGACCCCUCACACCACUAUCAGUGUUUGUGUCUAGUUUUAUAACUUUUCCAACUAAACUUCCAAUAGCUUAUAAUAUUUUCUUUUGGUACAGGAAUCCCGACAGACCUGGAAAGCGGAUCCAAGCUAAGAUCCUAUUUGGAAAAGGCCUCGACGAGUCGAAGUCCACCAUCCACGGCUAAAUAGUGAGAUAGUGCCCAGACACUAUACAGGGACCCUGAGUCAGCACCACUUCAUAAUCCACCAUGCUUUGAAACUUAACAAGGUAAUACCCAUUAGCCGCAUCCAUUAAACGGAAGGGUUGUGAGGGUUUCCAGAGACUGACGAUACGAUUAUAUAGAGCCCCAUAGCCUAUAUUACGCCCUAGAAGCUUAACCACCACCGCAGACUCCAUAUCCUUAACCAGAAUCUUUUUAAUCCGAUCCGAAAAUUCUAUGCCAGGAAUUCCAUUGAUGACAGAUCUGAGGAUAUCACCAUCCUCCAACUCUAAAUCGAUAUUAAGGACACCACCUAGAGAACCCGAACCCGACCCACCCAAAAGUUUAUCUUUCUAGGUAACUCCAGUCACCGGAGUUGAGUCCACCACCUUCUUUAAACCGAACUGUUUUGGUGAUGCGAUCUUCAAUAGUGCCUUCACCAUCUUCAAUCUGAUCAACGGACAAGGAUUCAACAUCAUUCAUCGAGAAGAAUUAGUCAAUAGUAGUUUAUUUUAUUUAUUGCAAUCAUUUUUUUUACAAUGAAACCAAAUCAAUUUAAUUGCGAGUCUUUCGUGAUAAAUUUUUGACAAUUUAUUGCAAAAAUAUUGUAUUUUAUAAGAUGUUUUUAAAUUAUUAAGAAAAUUUUGGUAGUUUUUCUUAGGGGUGAGCAUUCGAUCUAAUCGAAUCAAAAAUUUUUGAAUCAAUCGAGUUUUCGAAUAUCAUUUUAUCAUCAUAACUUUAUUUGAAGUUUUCUCGAGUCGAGUGAGAUGGAAUUCAAAUUGAAUAUAUUUAUUCGAGUUAAAUUUUAAAAAAUAAUUUUAGUUCCUUGUAACUAUCGUCACUUAUCAUAAUAAAAUUUAUCCACCUUAAUCAAUUUUUUUAUUAAUUUUAUCACCUCAUAAUUUAUUUAUUAAUUUUUUAUAUACUGGUUAGUUUCUUUGUUUGUUUAAUUGUUUCGAUUAUCUUUAGAUUCUUGUCACUAUGUAUUUUAGAAUUAAAAAAUAUAUUAAAUGUAAAGAUAUGAUUUUUUAAUAAAAAUUAUUUUAAAAAUAAAAUGUGAAAUUGAUAUUAAUAUAAAAUUUUAAUACGAAUAUUUUAUGGCAUAAUUAAUAAUUUAAUUUUAAUAUAAAUAUUUAAUAUGACUAAACAAUUCAAUAAUAUAAAUAAUAUAAAAUGUAAGAUUUAAUUUAAUAAUAUAAAUAGUAGAUAUAAAUAAAAUUAUUAUUAUUUAUGUUUAGUGAUUUUUUGGAUAAUUUUGAUUUUUUAUUUGAGAGUAAAGGGUGAGAAGUAAUAAUUUAGGGGGAAAAUAAAAAAUUUUGGAGAAUAAAAGUUUGAGGGAAAGUAAAUAGGGGAGUAAAAUUUUGGAGGGAAAAUAUUAAAAAAAAUUUGGAGGGGGGGAGGGUUUGGAUAGAUAAGAGGUGGGAUAGGAAAGGAAUAAAAGUUUUAGGGGAAAAGUUGGAGGGAGUAAAAAUUUUGGGGGAAAAUAAAAGGUUUUGAAGGUUUUGGGGAGUAAAAUUUUGAGAAAAAGUAAAUGGGAAAGUAAAAUUUUGGUAAGAAAUAGAUUUUGGAUAGAUUGGGGGGUUGGGAGGGGAGGGGAGUAAAAGUUUUGGGGGGAAAGUGGGAAGGACUAAAAGUUUUGAGGAAAAAAUAAAAAGGUUUGGGAGUUUGGGAGUUUAGGGUAAAAAUGUAAAAUAUUAUAAUUUGAUAUUCGAAUUAUUCCAGUUAUUCGAAUUCAAAAAUUCAACUCGAUUCG
rnacentral:lncRNA from 1 species